GGACAGGGUAUAAAAGGCAGCUGCUUCAGCUGCGCUGCUCACAGUCGAAAAAAUUUUUUGAGAAGAAAAACUUGAAGAGCUCUGGUGUGCGUCGGACGUCAGUUUGUCGUCACAGUAAAGUCGCAAACAUGUUAUAGAUUGUAAUGAAAAAGAGAGAAAGAUUGGAUUGGAGAUUGGAGAGUGUGAGAAGGAGAAGAGGAUGAGCGAACGGCCUUCGAUCGAAAAUGGUGUGAGUCAUGGCAUGGCGCUGAAAGAGAAACAGAGACAGAGACAGAGGCCAUGAUGAAAUCAAUCUAUGCGAACGCCACCAGAAAGAGGCCUGGUUCUCAGGAUCACACUCGUUUCCUGCUCCUCGAACGUUAAUGGCAACGCUGAGGAGGAACGGAAUACUAAUCCAAGCGACAGAGCAACACGACGAACACGAAAUCAAAUCCAUCCGUACGGCGUACGGCAUAAUGGAUGCGGAAUUGGAUGAUCCGCUUGAAACAAGUACUAUGUGCCAAUCUAGCUCGCUCGCCAGAUGCAAGCACGCACAUUCAUUUACCGAGUUACUGAGUGAGUCUUCACGUCUGUCCGAGUCUUCACCCCAUACUUCCACCACCGCCACCGCUCCCCCGGCAGUGUGAGUUCCGCAAUACAGCCGAUGGCCGGAGAUGAGCACGGAGCAGCGCAGCAGCAGCAGCAAACACCACCGAGUCUCCUCCAGCAUGACAUGACCACAACUGACAUGGGGACGACACAUAUAUAUAUAUCACAAAAGGGGACAAGGCGGAAUGCGCGCAGCAGCAGCAGCUCCAGCUCUCAUCAGCUUACCUGCGUUUGAAGCUCUCCUCGUGCCCUCGUCAAGGCUGUGUCACCACCAACUACUACUACUACUACCACCACCUACUAUUCUGCAUAGCCCGCUUCGCAGCUGCUGACCACCACCCACCCAUCCACACAGUUACACGGUAUUUGGUAUAUCAGCUGCGAACAAAUAUUGCUUUUUUGAACAGAUUUACAGCAAAAGGAGUAUGAAAUCAUCGGCAUUCAACGUUCUACAAUUCGUUCUACAACGGUUUGGAGGUUUGGAGUUUGAGAGGAGCUACUACAGUUGCUAAAAUUCAUUUCACUCCGCAUGUAAGCUGUUUGGGAUAAUUACUUUGAUUAAUUCCUGAAUUGCAGACGUCAGUUAUAUAUGAAAUCAACUGGGUUUUAUCAUUGCUUCGCUCUACACACAUUGUUGGAUCAUCUUCUCUUUGAUUUGAAUUGGGACCCUAGGCACUACCUCGUCUUCACUAUCGGUCUGCAUAACUUUUGGGCUUUUCAAAGCCCAAUUUCUCAUCUUUAUUGUAGCGGCGCGUCACAGUUGAGCUGUUCCUGUGUGUGCCCAGGGCUGACACGUACGUGGGAUGUCACUGAAGCUAACACUCAAUGGGAGAACACACGUAAUAGCUAGUAGUAGAGGAGCAACCGUCACGUUUUCCCUUAUUUUUUUAGCGAUGUGACGCAGUUGAGCGGUGCCUGCGUUCAUCUGUCUCUGAAAGUGUGGGACGAAGAUACCUAAAUGUCUCUCUGCCAAAGCGACACACACUGGGCAACAUCGAUAGCCGAAGCGUAAAUCGUUCUCUUUUUGUAUACCUAACCAGAACAAAUUGUUCGUUUUGAAUAUUUUUAGCAGAGUGAUUCUUGUAGGCAAGAAAUGGAAUGCGAAUGCAACAACUUCCACAACGAAGCUUAAUGAGUGGAAGCGCACUUCACACAAAAGUUAGUAGACUAGGACACGCUUCAAUAUUUCCUUUAUAUUUUUUAGCGAUGCGACGCAGUUGAACGGUGCCUGCGUGCAUCGGCCCGAAAGAGUGGCAGAAGAAGGAUGUAGCUCCUGGUCUUAGUCGACUUGUCGGCAAGGGGAUAAAAUGUCCAGAAGAGUAACAUAGCUUUUAAUACUUCACCCGAACCAAUUGCUCCCCCUUUAAAUAUCUAUUUUAGCACAGAGAUCUGUAACCUGUAACCGGCUCAACCGAAUAACUAUCCAGGAGUUAGUAGUCUAGGAACAAGCUUCACUUUUUCCUUUAUUUUUUUUUUUAGCGGUGCGACGCAGUUGAACGGUGCCUGCGUGCAUCGGCCCGAUAGAGUGGCAGUGGGACACAGUCUGUGGUCCCAAUCGACUCGUCAGCCCAAAGAACACGUCAUCAGUGGGAUGAAUAUCCAUAAGCGUAACUCGUUUUUAAUACCUAACUCGAUCAAAUUGCUCCUGUUCUCAUUACUUUUAGCCCAGUACUCUAAUAAGCAAGGCCUCUGGCACCUUAGGGAUAGCUACUCCAAAGCGGAUAUGCCCACAAAGAGUUAGUAGUCUGGGAACAAGCUUCACUUUUUCCUUUGUUUAUUUUAGCGAUGCGACGCAGUUGAGCGGUGCCUGCGUGCAUCGGCCCGAAAGAGUGGCAGAAGGAUGUGUCUCUGGUUUAUAUUGAGAUCGAAUGCCCGAAUGAGUGGCACUAUCCUAAAUUCGAUGGGAUCAAUAACCGAAAGAGUAACUCGCUUUUUUUUUCAUAACUAAUAAGAACAACCUGCUCCCGAUUUAAUUAUUUUUUAGCACAGUACUUUAGUAAGCAAGAUAUGGACUGCUUUUGAAGGCGAAUGGGACAUAAAUAUGUCAAAAAACUCACGUAAUUUAGUAGACUAGGCACAAUCGUCACUUUCCUUUAUUUGUUUUAGCGAUGCGACGCAGUGGAUCGGUGCCUGCGUGCAUCCGAGUGGGCAAGAAAGAGUGGGCGUCUUAAGUUGACUUCUCAGAAUCUAUCUAGGACGAAUGAUACCAAGCAAUGGUCAUCGAAGAGUAACUCGUUUCCUAUACCUAACUAGAUCAAACUGCUCCUGUUUCGAUUAUUUUUAGCACUCUUGCUCUUGUUAACAAGUUAAUGUGGGCUGCCAUGCGGACUGCCAAUAUCGAAUAGCUACCGAAUGUUGCGUGGAGCGUCGCCGCCAUCGUAAAAGUUAAGAGAUACUUGCAAUCGAAACCCUUUUCCCUUUAUAUUUUAUAGAAAUAUGACGCAGUUGAGCGGUGCCUGCGCAUAUUGGCGGACAGAGUUCUUCUGCGAGGAAGUGCCAUCGUAUCUUAUUUCUUUUUUAGUUUUUCGACCCGAAUUCUUCUGUAUUUUAGCGGUAUGCGCGCAGUUGAAUGUGCCUGCCCAUACUAGUACACCAUACCAUGUCACCAUCAAUCAAAACUGAAACUGAGCAACGACCGACUAGCCUCGUACUCUGCCACUUUGGGAGAUGCUCUGGGAUAAACAAUGAUAAAGAUAAAGAUGUGCCUUCACUGAAGUUUCACUUGAAUCUCAAUCAAAUCGUUCGGUUUUUAUUAAUGUAUUCCUUGCAGUGUCAAAUGAUCCGAUCUCCUCCUGAUCCGAUAUCCACACAAUUGAACUUACCCCAUCCAUCCAACGUGCACUUUCGCCCGCCCUGUGUGUGUGUAUGUGUGUACAUGUAGCAAAAUUUCUUGAGGCAAUGGGAAUCAAAUGCCAACUUGAAAGCAAUAACACCAACACUCAAUCGCUGCAGUCCAACAUCCAUACAACACGCGAUAAUUUGAUAAAUGUGCAGGUCAGGUCUGAUCCCAAAUUAGAACCGCUUACACCUGUUUUUUCAGCCAAAUUGUGAUUCGGUGCGAGCGAUUCUGAGCGGAAUAUGGAGUGUGAAGUGUCUGUUUGAAGCAAGAAAGCGAGCCUUUCCACAGAGUGAGAACCUUUCGCCUUCGUCCUUAAUUUACAUUUCCACUUGCAGCGAUGACGCACAGUUGACAGUUCCUGUACGCAUCGAUCCUUAGAUCUAUUAUAUACAUAUAUAUAUAUAGGUUAUCCAUGUGAUCCGAACCGGAAGACACGGCAGCUGCCAUGGACCGACGGUCGGGUUGUUCAAUCGUGCACACCACCACCACACCACCGCCGCCGUUCCUAGCUGGCCGAGUCUACGGCUGUGCUGCUGCAAAUCGUUAAAGGGAAUCCAAAACGAUGCAUCAAUCCAUCCAGUUAGGCUUCUCUCGAGCGACCUACUAGUGCAACGACAACUACCAUCCGCCCCUGCUGCUGCUGAUGCAGAUGGAGCUGCAGCUGCCACUGCCACUGCCACUGUGAAUUGCAACGUCGAGCGACAUCAUCGAGAGUAAAGCAAGAGAUCGCAAGCACACGCAUAUGCAUAUGCUGGCUGACAAACGGUGUCUGACUUAUGACUCAUGACGCCUUGUCGCCUGCGCUGACUGUGUAAGAUGUGAACCUAACGCUUUUACAUUACAGCCGAGAGUUGUCUGCCGAUUGAGGGCUGCCCGCUGGUUGGUGUCUAUCCGGUCGCCAGGCGCACAUCGGUGCACAGUUGAGCAGCCCACCCCCCAGCUCCAGCUUGGCGCUUACCGGCCGCUGCAUCCUCCCCAAUCCACGGGCAUUGGACAGAGCCCGCGCCUGAGAGACCGGCGCCCGGCGCCGUGAUGUACUGAGCUUCGGCUCCUCACGUACUGCAAAUUGCACCGCACAGAAAUUGUGCGUUCGGUCCACGCUAAAGGGAAACAAAUGCGUUUGGACCGAGAGCCGCUACUACGCACCAUCACCAGAUUCGCUGCGAAGUGAGCUGAUGAGUUGUCGUUGUUACAGGGCUGCUGCAGCAGCUGCGCCGCGUGGGUUUAUGCCUGCGCCUAGCGUCGCUAACUAUCACUUGUCACUUUCAGCAAACGGCAGCGAACAGUGAUCGGCGAUCAAUAGCCAUGCCAAGCCCAAGCCAAGUCAUCCAUCGAUCCAUCCGGACAGAUCAGAGCCAUGCCAGAGAACAGAACAGAACAGAAGCUAACGACACCUAGCUAGUCGUUUAUCGCAAAAGGGAACCAAAUGCGAUUAGUGUUCAAGCAUCCGAAUCCGACUCCGACUCCGAAUCAGAAGAUGUGCAGCAGCAGCAGCAGCAGUUGAAGACCAUCGGUCAGAAAAGUCAGACUUGCCGCCAGGCAUAGGCGCAGUCUAGUGCAGCGGGUUGUUGUUCCACUUUCGUACUACUUUCCUUCCGUAGGUUAGCCCAGAACUCGUCCAAACCCAAUAUCCAUCGCAAAGGGAAUCAAAUGCGAUUAGUGUUCCAAGCCAGAGCAAGGCGGACAGUGUGCCGUGCUUCGCUCUGCCAGUUGAGACCUAACUCCUGGCCCAUCGUUCAACAUGCCGCAAAAGGGAAUCCAAUGCGAGGUGGUACUGCGGCAGCAGGCAGCAUUCAGCAGUCGGCAGUCAGUUCCCCCAAUUGAGCUCUCCCGACACAACCUUCCCCCCCCCCGACUCUUCACUUCAGCAAUGAUCGCAAAGGGAAUCGAGUGCGAUGUACAGCGACAGCAAGAGGCAGGCAGGCAGACAGACAGAAGCGCGAGAGUCCAUGUGACUGGGUCACGUUUUCCAGGAACCAUCCAUCCACUUACUACCUCCCGCACAUGUCUGAAAUGCGAGUUCCAACCGGCCUGGCCGGAUCUGGUCCUCCAAGCACUCGUCACGUUGGUCUCAAAGGGAAUCCAAGAGACACGCGCCCGCGCUCCAGGCAACAGAAGUAUACUUUUUAUUUUUUUUCUUUUGAUUUCCUAAAUCUCUUCUUGCAGAUUUUUGUUCGAAACCAAUUCGAGUGAAAUCCUUUUAAAUUUGUAAUGCAUUACGAUGCAAUCACUGUAGAAUUCCUUCUGAUUUUGAAUUGUAAAUUGUUAAUCCCUUUUUGUAAGAUAUUGUUAACCCUGAACAUGUAAACCCCCGCAAUCUAUGUACUAAGCGCUAAGCAGACCUCCGACCUUCCUGAAGGAGCAGCCUGGCAGGGAUCUGAGUUUAAUAGAAUUGAAGUCCAAGGCAGUGAGCAGUGGGAGGAUCAUCGUGUGCUGAGUGGCAGAGGCGUUUUCAAACUACAGAGAGAGAGAGGCAUUCUUCCCCCCCAAACCUUUGUAACAUCUUCGAGGUCCGUUUCCGUGGCAGAGAGGGAGCAGCUGGAGCAGAGGCUUUUUCGACUUUUCACUACAUUACUGGCAUGACAACUACCUUCGCGGGCGGCUAUUGCUUUACGUGUCAGGAGAGGGAUUGGCUGGCAUACAGAGCAACAUUUUCCAAGUCACUGGGUGCCUUCGACUUUGUCCUACCCACCGACCGACUUUGAGGGCCAUGUUCCAUGAGAAGGGAUGAACCUUCGCAGAGACGCUUUUGAGAAUCAUUUCAAACUUUACAUCACCUACUACCUACCACCACCACCACAUUCGAGCCAAUUGCAAUGGCCCACCAUCCCACCCAUCUAAGCCAGCAUCCUCGGCGGAUGCGGAGUCUACUAGAAAAACACUACACCGAUUAGAGGCGAGCUUUGGGCGAGCAUUUUCACUACCAGAAGCAGCGACCUCCCCUUUUGUCAUCCGGAGCAACACAUAGUCUGACACUAUCACUACUUCUCUUCAAACACCAUUUUCAUCAACACGCAAUUGUUUUCGCUUUCGCAAUACCGCUGGACAGGAUGUCUCUUGUUGUGGUGGUAACCUUUGGUACCUUCAGAUCGUUUUCGCAUUGCUACCACCACCACCCUUUGCUUGUGGAGAUCACUGUUGGAUGUUUUGGACUUGUAUGGCUUCGCUACACCCUUGUCGGAUAUUUUUCUGGGACUAUUCUUCGUGAGGAGGUUAGAUUUGUUAGAGGAUUUCGAGAUUCUAUAAUUGGACGGCGGCGCGGGAUAAAUCCAUUGAUCGAUUACUGAUUGACGGCGGCGGGGGAGAACAUUCAUUCCAAUGGACGGCAGCGAGGGAUUUCCGAAACGUUGAGACUGCGGCGUUGGACGACUCGUCGUUGGGACUGCGGCGUGGGAUUCCUAUUUCUCAACGUGGGACUGUUAGGGCGAUUAGGCGAGGGCGAUAGGGAUAGGAUCUUCUCUCCAAUUAUGCAACUACCUUCUUGUGGGAUUGUUGGGACGGCAGCGAGGGAUUCCGACGGCGGCGUGGGAUUCGGAAGUGUCGACUGCGGCGUGGGAUACCAUUCGAAGAGACUGCGGCGUGGGAGAUCCAUCUGAUUUUGACUGCGGCGUGGGAGAUCCUGAUCCGGAUUGUUUCGACUGCGGCGAGGGAACUUUUGAGGAGGUGGAGGACACCGACGGCGGCGCGGGAAUCAUUGACUGCGGCGUGGGAGCAUUUGACGGCGGCGUGGGAUGAUCCUCAUCGGGUGCUGAUUGAUUAAUCAUCGGUGGUAUUCCGGGGAUAUUGGCCCAUGCAAGACACUGCUGGUGGCACACAAUUAUUUAAUAGUUCAAAGCUGAUAUACUUGAUAGAUGCCGUGCCUCCAAUAUCCGCCCCUGACUCAGCCCAUGUCUGGGAAAACUCAUCAUUCGUAAACACAUUUAUUUCACACUUCUGGAAUACCGGAACGCUAUCUCAAAAUAUUCAAACCGAUGAACCCAUUUACUGGAUGAGCAACAGUCUGGUUGCGAAAUAAAUUGUUUUUUGAAAAAAUGAAAA